UAUCCUCCUGAUCUGGUAGAAAUCAAGGCUGAUGAACCCUUUCUUGAAGGUGACAAAGGCAUUUUGCAUUGUAAGGCAAUAAAUGAAUAUCCAGAAAAGUACAGCUACAGGUGGGAUCCAAGUAACAAAACCUCACAAAAUUUCACAUUUCCUCAACUCAAUCGAACACACAAUAAUGAGGUUUACACUUGUUAUGCUUCUAACAAGUGCA